rnacentral:rRNA from 1 species
UACGUAGGGUGCAAGCGUUGUCCGGAAUUAUUGGGCGUAAAGAGCUCGUAGGCGGUUUGUCGCGUCUGCUGUGAAAACUCAGGGCUUAACCCUGAGCCUGCAGUGGGUACGGGCAGACUAGAGUGUGGUAGGGGGAGAUCGGAAUUCCUGGUGUAGCGGUGGAAUGCGCAGAUAUCAGGAGGAACACCGGUGGCGAAGGCGGAUCUCUGGGCCAUAACUGACGCUGAGGAGCGAAAGCAUGGGGAGCGAACAGG